rnacentral:rRNA from 1 species
AGAGUUUGAUCCUGGCUCAGGAUGAACGCUAGCGGCAGGCCUAACACAUGCAAGUCGAACGGUAACAGGGAUUGCUUGCAAUCCGCUGACGAGUGGCGCACGGGUGCGUAACGCGUAUGCAAUCUGCCUAUAACUAAGGAAUAGCCCAGAGAAAUUUGGAUUAAUACCUUAUAAUAUUGUUAUCUGGCAUCAUUUAACAAUUAAAACUCAGGUGGUUAUAGAUGAGCAUGCGUCCUAUUAGCUUGUUGGUAAGGUAACGGCUUACCAAGGCUACGAUAGGUAGGGGGCCUGAAAGGGUGAUCCCCCACACUGGUACUGAGACACGGACCAGACUUCUACGGGAGGCAGCAGUGAGGAAUAUUGCGCAAUGGACGAAAGUCUGACGCAGCCAUGCCGCGUGCAGGAAGACGGCCCUACGGGUUGUAAACUGCUUUUAUAUAGGAAGAAACACUGAUACGUGUAUCGGCUUGACGGUACUAUAUGAAUAAGGACCGGCUAACUCCGUGCCAGCAGCCGCGGUAAUACGGAGGGUCCAAGCGUUAUCCGGAUUUAUUAGGUUUAAAGGGUCCGCAGGCGGAAUUUUAAGUCAGUGGUGAAAGCCUACAGCUCAACUGUAGAACUGCCAUUGAUACUGAAAUUCUUGAGUGUGGUUGAAGUAGGCGGAACAUGUCAUGUAGCGGUGAAAUGCAUAGAUAUGACAUAGAACACCAAUUGCGAAGGCAGCUUACUAAACCAUUACUGACGCUGAGGGACGAAAGCGUGGGUAGCGAACAGGAUUAGAUACCCUGGUAGUCCACGCCGUAAACGAUGAUCACUCGUUGCUAGCGAUACACUGUUAGUGACCAAGCGAAAGUGUUAAGUGAUCCACCUGGGAAGUACGUUCGCAAGAAUGAAACUCAAAGGAAUUGACGGGGGCCCGCACAAGCGGUGGAGCAUGUGGUUUAAUUCGAUGAUACGCGAGGAACCUUACCAGGGCUUAAAUGCAGAAUGACAGAUUGGGAAACCAGUUUUUCUUCGGACAUUUUGCAAGGUGCUGCAUGGUUGUCGUCAGCUCGUGCCGUGAGGUGUCAGGUUAAGUCCUAUAACGAGCGCAACCCCUAUCAUUAGUUGCCAGCGGAUAAUGCCGGGAACUCUAAUGAGACUGCCAGCGCAAGCUGCGAGGAAGGUGGGGACGACGUCAAAUCAUCACGGCCCUUACGUCCUGGGCUACACACGUGCUACAAUGGUUGGGACAAUGGGCAGCCACUACGCAAGUAGGAGCUAAUCCUUAGACCCAAUCUCAGUUCGGAUCGGAGUCUGCAACUCGACUCCGUGAAGCUGGAAUCGCUAGUAAUCAGAUAUCAGCAAUGAUCUGGUGAAUACGUUCCCGGGCCUUGUACACACCGCCCGU